rnacentral:rRNA from 1 species
GCAAGUCGAACGGUGAAGCUCAGCUUGCUGGGUGGAUCAGUGGCGAACGGGUGAGUAACACGUGAGCAACCUGCCCCCUACUUCGGGAUAAGCCUUGGAAACGGGGUCUAAUACCGGAUAUGAACACUUGUCGCAUGGUGGGUGUUGGAAAGUUUUUCGGUGGGGGAUGGGCUCGCGGCCUAUCAGCUUGUUGGUGGGGUAAUGGCCUACCAAGGCGUCGACGGGUAGCCGGCCUGAGAGGGCGACCGGCCACACUGGGACUGAGACACGGCCCAGACUCCUACGGGAGGCAGCAGUGGGGAAUAUUGCACAAUGGGCGAAAGCCUGAUGCAGCGACGCCACGUGAGGGAUGACGGCCUUCGGGUUGUAAACCUCUUUCAGCAGGGAAGAAGCGUGAGUGACGGUACCUGCAGAAGAAGCGCCGGCUAACUACGUGCCAGCAGCCGCGGUAAUACGUAGGGCGCAAGCGUUGUCCGGAAUUAUUGGGCGUAAAGAGCUCGUAGGCGGUCUGUCGCGUCUGGUGUGAAAUCCCAUGGCUCAACUGUGGGCUUGCAUCGGGUACGGGCAGACUAGAGUGCUGUAGGGGAGACUGGAAUUCCUGGUGUAGCGGUGGAAUGCGCAGAUAUCAGGAGGAACACCGAUGGCGAAGGCAGGUCUCUGGGCAGUUACUGACGCUGAGGAGCGAAAGCAUGGGGAGCGAACAGGAUUAGAUACCCUGGUAGUCCAUGCCGUAAACGUUGGGCACUAGGUGUGGGGCCAGUUCCACUGGUUCUGUGCCGCAGCUAACGCAUUAAGUGCCCCGCCUGGGGAGUACGGCCGCAAGGCUAAAACUCAAAGGAAUUGACGGGGGCCCGCACAAGCGGCGGAGCAUGCGGAUUAAUUCGAUGCAACGCGAAGAACCUUACCAAGGCUUGACAUGUACGAGAACGCCCCAGAGAUGGGGUUCUCUUUGGACACUCGUACACAGGUGGUGCAUGGUUGUCGUCAGCUCGUGUCGUGAGAUGUUGGGUUAAGUCCC